AAAAAAAGAAAAAUUCUAACCUUUUAAUUCUAACGUCAACGUCAGCCUCUCAUUCUUGCAAUUAUUUUAAUGGUUCUUCUCCAAGCUAUUUUCUUGACAUAUAAUAAUUAAAAAUGCAUAUGAUAUCCUAGGUUGUAUACAAAAGUAGGGACCUAUUUUUAGCUGUGCCUCCAAAAUCCUGCUGGAUAUAUUUUAUGGGCUUUUGAGCACAGCAAUCUAUUAGCCAAUGUCUUCAUUGAAAUGGGCCACUCUACUCCCUGGGAAUAGUUAUAAUGGAGCUUAUUAUCCUAUAAUUAUCAGUUGUGUUACAAAGCCAAGUUUUGCUAAUCCAGUAGCUUGUACUUAUCCACCUUGAAACAAGUUUUUGGGGCUACACAAACCCCAUGCACGUGGGGAAUGGGUGAUGGGUCACGCCUGUGGAAUGAACUGAGGAAUUCUGGGAGGGUGCCUCUUGCUCCAGAACCUCCUCCACAUUCAGGUUCAACUGCCCCUGAGUGCCACCUGUGUUCAUUCAUUCACUAUUUACUGAGUGCUGACGACAUGACAGCUAUUAUGUGAGGCACCAGCAGCAGAGAUUUGUGCCUGGGGCUAAAGAUUUCCAGGCAUUCUCUUUUAAAACGUAGGUUCAACUGGGCUAGACAUCACAUUAAUCACGAUGCCUCGGUAUGAAUCGAUUUGUGAGGUCCCUCAAGCUCACCCAGCCUGGGAGGUGUGGAGUGACGAUUUCCACCCAGGCGGUCUGGCACCAUAUAUUCCAAAUGAGUGUUGCCCUACCACGUCAUCAUUUUGGGAGGUUACACGUUUGCUGCAACAAUCCUGCCAUUGCCCAACACGUUUGGGAUUACUCUCUGGGAGUUUGAGACUGAAGGACUCAGAAUCUAAUGCCAGCGCCACUAGUCAGCAGCUAAGACAUCAUAAGUGGCUGCCAGUAGCCGGUAUUGACAACUACUUCACUCUGACCAGGAGAAACCUGGGACUCUGAGCAAAUCAGCUAAAGCCAUCUACUCUGCCAUCUCCAGGACCAAGAUCUAUGCCACCUCGGACCCAUUCACCCAAGAAUCCACGCAAAGAACCAGGCUGCUGCUGUGCCUACAUAUUAGUGUUUUUGUACAAGUAACCCCCGCUCCCCAUUCACUCCCCUCAAAAUCCAUCAUUUUUAAGAGACCAAUUGCCGUGUGUGGACCUUACUCAAAAAUCCCACUUCAAAGGAACCAAUGGUAAAUAUGAUCACUGAUAACAUAGGAGAUUCUCGUUGGUAUUUUUGCUAUGAUAAUGAGAUCAAUUUUUUUUCUUUUCUUUUUUGCUGAGGAAGAUUGGCCCUGAGCUGAUAUCUGUGCCAAUCUUCCUCUAUUUUGUACGUGGGUUGCUGCCACAGCAUGGCUGAUGAGUCAUGUAGGUCCUCGCCCAGGAUCCAAACCCACAAAUCCAGGCCACUGAAGCAGAGCACACCGAACUUAACCACUAUGCCACUGGGUUGCCACCCUUGUUUUUUUUAAAGAAUCUUUAUCUUUUAGAGAUACAUACUAAAAGAUUUACUCAUGAGAUACAUGGUAUCUUUGCUUCACGGUAAUGGCAGGGGACUGGGUGGGGUCUUGCUGAAGCUGUGUGAUGGGUACACACGAAUCUGAUACUUUCCUCUUAUUUUUAUAUAUGUU
ensembl:lncRNA